GAGAACAGUCCAAAACAUGCUGCACCUUGCUGUCCCAAUAAUCCAAAAUAUUCACCAAAAUGGUGAUACCAUGACCUGCACAAAGAAGACAAUGAAACAGUUGCCUAAAGUGUUCAAAUCUAACCAAAUUUCCCCCCCAAAUUUCAUUCUCAUGGGGAUAUAAAAGGGACCUUCUGCAUACAAAGAAAAAAGAAAACCGACAGACAACCACGAAAGAACAAGGGAAAAAAAAGAGAGAACAAAAACCUCACCAACCCUUCACUCUAACCACAAGUUACAACUCUCAACCAUCACUCAUAACUUCUUUUUCAUUCCCUCCUGCUUACACUUCAUCAUCCUCACACGAUAAGCCAUAAAACCAGCUUCACUUCACUUAAAAUCACUCCGAUAAUCCUGCACUCAUCCUCAACAACAUUCAACAUACAACAGACACUAACCAAAUCACGUAACACAAUUUCAUCAUCACGUGACUCAGAAACAAACUACAACAACAAACACCGCUCCGACAACUUGACAUCAACAUCAUAGCGACAAACAACUCUCAGUAUCACCGCGGAUUUCGUCACUCCGAUAACUUUCGGAUCGGUAUUGUGAUUCGCCUUGAAAGAGAAAAUGGCUACUAGCAUCAACCAUGUGUAUUUUUUCAUUGCAAUUUUAUGCAUUACAUCAGUGUUGAUUCCAGUUUCUUGGAGAGGCUUAUCUUGGACCCUUUGGAGUUUGGACACUACUUUCGCAUCAUAUUGGAAAAGAUUUUCAAAGGAAAGAAAGAUUCAAAAACAGUGGCAAAGGACCUAAAUCAGGUAUAGAAGACCGUGGAGAUCUGAAUGAUCCUAGUGGAGACUAUAGCAUGAUUGUGUUGGAAUUCUAGCUGCAUUCAAAUUCAAAGGUCCCCCUCAUCAGUCUCUUAUUGUAGCCAACACAUAUUUAUUGUCGCUUGUCAGGGCUUUUGAAUCAUCGGCUGUAAACACUAAUGAGUCACUUAGGAUUUGUUGGGUCUUCUCGUCCACCACAACCCACUAAUGAAAGUGAUCACACAAAUGAAGAUGGCGUCGAUGAAUCAGAUGAAGAAGACCUUAGAAGUGAAUUUUGAUUUGUAUUUUUACUUGGUUGUUAAAUUGGAUUGUAAUUUGGAUUGUUUUAUCUUAAGUAAUAGCAGAUUUUGGAUUUUAUAG